UUACGGUCAUAUCACGUAGAAAAACCGGUUCUCACACGAUCGACGAAGUUAAGCAAUGUUGAGCCUAGUCAGUACUUAGAUAGGUAACCGUUUGGGAAUAUCAUGUGCUGUAAG